UACAGAGGGUGCAAGCGUUAAUCGGAAUUACUGGGCGUAAAGCGUGCGUAGACGGUCAUGUAAGUCGGGUGUGAAAGCCCCGGGCUCAACCUGGGAAUUGCAUUCGAGACUGCAUGGCUAGGGUGCGGAAGGGGGAAGCGGAAUUUCCGGUGUAGCGGUGAAAUGCGUAGAUAUCGGAAGGAACACCAGUGGCGAAAGCGGCUCCU
rnacentral:rRNA from 1 species